rnacentral:rRNA from 1 species
AAUCUGCCCCUGAGCGGGGGAUAACCAAGGGAAACUUUGGCUAAUACCGCAUAAACUCGAGAGAGCAAAGCUGCCGCAAGGUGGCACUCGGGGAGGAGCCUGCGUCCGAUUAGCUAGUUGGUGGGGUAAGAGCCUACCAAGGCGAUGAUCGGUAACUGGUCUGAGAGGACGACCAGUCACACUGGGACUGAGACACGGCCCAGACUCCUACGGGAGGCAGCAGUGGGGAAUAUUGGACAAUGGGGGCAACCUUGAUCCAGCGAUGCCGCGUGGGUGAAGAAGGCCUUCGGGUCGUAAAGCCCUUUAGGUUGGGAAGAAGGAUGUUAUCGGAUAAUGGUAGCAUUUUGACGGUACCGACAGAAUAAGCGCCGGCAAACUCUGUGCCAGCAGCCGCGGUAAUACAGAGGGUGCAAGCGUUAAUCGGAAUUACUGGGCGUAAAGGGCGCGUAGGCGGUUAUGUGAGUGUGAUGUGAAAGCCCCGGGCUUAACCUGGGAAGUGCAUCGCAAACGACAUGACUGGAGUAUAUGAGAGGGUGGUGGAACUUCCGGUGUAGCGGUGAAAUGCGUAGAGAUCGGAAGGAACGUCAAUGGCGAAGGCAGCCACCUGGCAUAAUACUGACGCUGAGGCGCGAGAGCGUGGGGAGCGAACAGGAUUAGAUACCCUGGUAGACCACGCUGUAAACGAUGAA